AUACUUACCUGGCAGAGUUGAUUCUGUUAUUAAGGGUGGUUUCCUCAGAGUGAUGCUUAUCUUAUCCAUUUUACUCAAUGGGCUGAUUCCUGCGAUUUCUGCAAAUGCCAGAAACUUGACUGCAUAAUUUGUGACAGUGGGGGACUUCAUUCAAACUCUCCCCUA
rnacentral:snRNA from 1 species